GUCUAAGGCCAUAGCACCCUGAACGCGCCCUAUCUCGAUUUGAUCUCGGAAGCUAAGCAGGGUCGGGCCUGGUUAGUACUUGGGUGGGAGACCGCCUGGGCAUACCGGGUGCUGUAGGCU
rnacentral:rRNA from 1 species